AAUGCGGUCGGACCGCUCGUGAUUCCCGAAAGUCUUUGGUGAAGAAAGCAGGCGCUGUGCCCCUUUUGCAGGCGUUUCAUUUGAUUGUUGAUGUCCCAUCGCCAUGACCAGAUAGGCAUCUUGUGGUUUACAGGAAACCUUCCUCCCAGCAGGGAUGCUCCAGUUACGAUAAAAGAAAUUUGAAGCAAGGAAAGGAGUAAGGACAGGAGAGGAGGCCCUUCAUUAAUAUUCACAGUACCAUCUCACAAGGAGAGGAGGACAUCAAAUCCGUGGAGGAUUUCUGUAUCAAGAUUUUGCUGCUUCCAUGAUGAUUGCAACUACUUUCAAGUCGCCUGGGAAUUCAAGAGUCGGUUGGAGAUGAGCUAUUCUGUAUCGACACACCAUCGAGAGACGGUGGGGAACAAAAUAGGUUUGUGUUAUGUGUUGCACAGAGCUGUAAAAUCCGAUUUGCAAGGUCAAUAAAUUCCUCCAAUAUGAA